rnacentral:rRNA from 1 species
GACGUAGGGGGCGAGCGUUGUCCGGAUUCAUUGGGCGUAAAGCGCGCGCAGGCGGCUCGGAAAGUCGGGUGUGAAAACCUGGGGCUCAACCCCGGGCGUGACAUCCGAUACUGCCGGGCUUGAGGCAGGUAGGGGAGAUCGGAAUUCCUGGUGUAGCGGUGAAAUGACGCAGAUAUCAGGAGGAACACCGGUGGCGAAGGCGGAUCUCUGGGCCUGUCCUGACGCUGAGGCGCGAAAGCUAGGGGAGCGAACAGG